CUGGCGGCGUGCCUAAUACAUGCAAGUCAACGGCUUUCUAUGGAAGCUUGCUUCCACUGAGAAGAUAGUGGCGAACGGGUGAGUAACACGUGGGUAACCUGCCCAUAAGAGGGGGAUAACAUCCGGAAACGGGUGCUAAUACCGCAUAGUUUUCUUGAUUGCAUGAUUGAGAAAGGAAAGACGGCCUUUGUGCUGUCGCUUAUGGAUGGACCCGCGGCGUAUUAGUUAGUUGGUGAGGUAACGGCUCACCAAGACGAUGAUACGUAGCCGACCUGAGAGGGUGAUCGGCCACAUUGGGACUGAGACACGGCCCAAACUCCUACGGGAGGCAGCAGUAGGGAAUCUUCCGCAAUGGACGAAAGUCUGACGGAGCAACGCCGCGUGAGUGAAAGAAGGUUUUCGGAUCGUAAAACUCUGUUGUCAGAGAAGAACAAGUUGGAGAGUAACUGCUCCAGCCUUGACGGUAUCUGACCAGAAAGCCACGGCUAACUACGUGCCAGCCGCCGC
rnacentral:rRNA from 1 species